UACGUAGGCAGCAAGCGUUGUUCGGAGUUACUGGGCGUAAAGAGUGUGUAGGCGGUCAGCUAAGUUCGGUGUGAAAUCUCCCGGCUCAACUGGGAGGGUGCGCCGAAGACUGGCAGGCUUGAGUGCGGGAGAGGAAAGCGGAAUUCCUGGUGUAGCGGUGAAAUGCGUAGAUAUCAGGAGGAACACCUGCGGUGUAGACGGCUUUCUGGACCGCAACUGACGCUGAGACACGAAAGCGUGGGUAGCAAACAGGAUUAGAAACCCUAGUAGUCC
rnacentral:rRNA from 1 species